rnacentral:tRNA from 1 species
GGGUGUAUAGCUUAAGCAGGUUAAAGCGGUAAACUUUUAAUUUAAAGAUUUUAGGUUCAAGUCCUAGUACACUCA